rnacentral:rRNA from 1 species
GAUGAACGCUGGCGGCGUGCCUAAUACAUGCAAGUCGAGCGAACGGACGAGAAGCUUGCUUUUCUGAUGUUAGCGGCGGACGGGUGAGUAACACGUGGAUAACCUACCUAUAAGACUGGGAUAACUUCGGGAAACCGGAACUAAUACCGGAUAAUAUUUUGAACCGCAUGGUUCAAAAGUGAAAGACGGUCUUGCUGUCACUUAUAGAUGGAUCCGCGCUGCAUUAGCUAGUUGGUAAGGUAACGGCUUACCAAGGCAACGAUGCAUAGCCGACCUGAGAGGGUGAUCGGCCACACUGGAACUGAGACACGGUCCAGACUCCUACGGGAGGCAGCAGUAGGGAAUCUUCCGCAAUGGGCGAAAGCCUGACGGAGCAACGCCGCGUGAGUGAUGAAGGUCUUCGGAUCGUAAAACUCUGUUAUUAGGGAAGAACAUAUGUGUAAGUAACUGUGCACAUCUUGACGGUACCUAAUCAGAAAGCCACGGCUAACUACGU